rnacentral:rRNA from 1 species
GGGCGUACGCUCUUUUCGAAGAUUAAGCCAUGCAUAUGCUAGUUCAUACAUUGUAAUGUGAGACUGUGGAAGGCUCAGUAUAUCAGUUAUAAUCUGCUCGAUUGUAAAGGUUAUUGGAUAACCGUGGGAAAUCUAGAGCUAAUACAUGUACUAUCGUGUUGAGCACACGAGAAUUGCAUUUAUUAGAACAUUACCGACCGUAGUGUGGUGAAAGUUUGCCAUGAUACGUGAUGAAUCUAGAUAACUGUGCAGAUCGUAUGGCCAUGAGUGCCGGCGACAUUUCGAUUGAAUUUCUGCCCUAUCAACUUUUGUCGGCAGUUUAGUGGACUGCCGAGGUUUUUACGGGUAACGGGGGAUCAGGGUUCGAUUCCGGAGAGGGAGCCUGAGAAACGGCUACCACAUCCAAGGAUGGCAGCAGGCGCGCAAAUUACCCAAUCCAGACAAUGGGAGGUGGUGAAGAAAAGUACCAAAUGACGGCCCAAGGUUGUCAAUUUGGAAUGGAAACAAUUUAAGAAAUUGGUUUGAGUAACAACUGGAGGGCAAGUCUGGUGCCAGCAGCCGCGGUAAUUCCAGCUCCAGUAGCGUAUCUCAAAGUUGCUGCGCUUAAAACGCUCGUAGUUGGAUCAGAGAGCAUGUAUUGGCUGGGGCUGUAGAUGUUCUACUGGGCUUUCUGUCCUUGGGACGUCUGUAGCACCGUUGCGCUAAUACGUGUUAAUUGCAUGUGAGGAUGGUAAUUGACCUUUAGUGCGUUGAUGACCGUGUCUCACAGAGUGUGCCUUGAGUAAAUCAGAGUGCUUAAAGCAAGUAUUUAUGCUUGAAUGUUGAUAGCAUGGAACGAACGAUCGUGUAUGGUGUGCAGUAAAUUGACGUUGUGACUGGUUUGCAUCGUAGCAGUUAUUGCAUGACACCGACCGCCAAUUACGGAUGUUGGUUCCGUAUUGGGGUAAUGAUUAAGAGGAGCGGUUGGGGGCAUUGGUAUUUGGCAGCGAGAGGUGAAAUUCUUGGACCUGCCAAGGACCGACAAAUGCGAAGGCAUCUGUCAAGACCGUAUCCAUUAAUCAAGAACGAAAGUGAGAGGUUCGAAGACGAUCAGAUACCGUCCUAGUUCUCACUGUAAACGAUGCCGACUCGGGAUCAGUUUGGAGCAAAUUCCACGCUCGAGGUUGGUCCCCCUGGGAAACCUAAAGUUUUUCGGUUGCGGGGGGAGUAUGGUCGCAAGGCUGAAACUUAAAGGAAUUGACGGAAGGGCACCACCAGGGGUGGAGCCUGCGGCUUAAUUUGACUCAACACGGGAAAACUUACCUGGUCCGGACAUCAAAAGGAUAAACUGACUAACAGAUCAUAAUAUUUUGAUAUGAUGAUUGGUGGUGCAUGGCCGUUCUUAGUUCGUGGAGUGAUCUGUCAGGCCAAUCCCGGUAACGAACGAGAGCACAAUCUCCAUUUGACGCGCCAAAGACACGGUGUGUAAUUGCAGUGGUGGUCGAAAGAUCACCUCGGUGAUAUGGCUCAUCGAUGGUAGUGGAGGUAAUUGUGCUUGGAAGCUGGAGGCUGCGGCAACGUGGUGCUUCAGCUGAAGGGUGCGAUAGGCCAACGCUCCCUUUGGUGUAACAAUUGGUUGAUCGUCAGAUUGACGGGUUGUAUCAUGGAGAGACAGCGGAACAUAUUCCAAAAUCCGAGGAAGUGUGGCUAUAACAGGUCUGUGAUGCCCUUAGAUGUUCAGGGCUGCACGCGCGCUACAAUGGUGGUGACAACGAGUUUCUGGAUCGAAAGAUUCGGGUAAUCUUGCAAUCACCGCCGUGAUGGGGAUCGACGUUUGUAAUUACGUCGUGAAAGAGGAAUCCCUAGUACGUGCGAUUCAUUAGAUCGCGCGGAUUUCGUCCCUGCCCUUUGUACACACCGCCCGUCGCUACUACCGAGUGAAUGGUACCAUAAUGCCUUGGGAGCGGACGUCGUUAUCGGGUUUACUCGUGAGGACGCUGCGAUCAGCGUAGAAUGGUGCAAUUUCGAGGAAGUAAAAGUCGUAACAAGGUUUCCGUAG